rnacentral:rRNA from 1 species
UACGAAGGGUGCAAACGUUGCUCGGAAUUAUUGGGCGUAAAGGGCGCGUAGGCGGCUGUACAAGUCAAAGGUGAAAUCCCUCGGCUCAACUGAGGAACUGCCUUUGAAACUGUACGGCUUGAGGCCGGGAGGGGGUAGCGGAAUUCCCAGUGUAGCGGUGAAAUGCGUAGAUACUGGGAGGAACACCAGCGGCGAAGGCGGCUACCUGGACCGGUUCUGACGCUGAGGCGCGAAAGCGUGGGUAGCAAACAGG